rnacentral:lncRNA from 1 species
AAUUCUAAGAUGGAGAGAGAAUUAAGGUGUUUGUCACUGGUAUUUAGGAGAUGAUUUUCACUUUCAACUGAUGUCCAGCUUUGUGGGUUGCUUAAAAUGUGAUGCCACUGUCAUCUCCAGAAAGUCAAUGUAUGUAGAAAUGCUUUAACACCCAACAUCCACAUGUUCAUGAGCACAUUCACUUGAAUCUCAGCACCCAUCUGUACACCACCUGGAUAGAUUUCAACAAGUUCAUUUUUUCUGAGCCUCAAUUUUCC